GUCGUCAGCUCGUGUCGUGAGAUGUUGGGUUAAGUCCCGCAACGAGCGCAACCCUCGCCCCUAGUUGCCAGCAUUUGGUUGGGCACUCUAGGGGGACUGCCGGUGAUAAGCCGAGAGGAAGGUGGGGAUGACGUCAAGUCCUCAUGGCCCUUACGGGCUGGGCUACACACGUGCUACAAUGGUGGUGACAGUGAGCAGCGAGACCGCGAGGUCGAGCCAAUCUCCAAAAGCCAUCUCAGUUCGGAUCGCACUCUGCAACUCGAGUGCGUGAAGUUGGAAUCGCUAGUAAUCGCGGAUCAGCAUGCCGCGGUGAAUACGUUCCCGGGA
rnacentral:rRNA from 1 species